UCGUUAUUACAUUGUUGUUUUGUGUUAGC
rnacentral:sRNA from 1 species